rnacentral:sRNA from 1 species
CAAAAAGAGAUAGAAUGAUAUUGAGCAAGUUAAGUGGAUGGUGGCUAUCCGAGUAUGAGGAGGUGGUGCCUAUGAAUGGCAUAACUGAAAUCUUUAGAAAGGAGAUGCCCCUAUGGUACCUAUUGCAGUUGUACUGAUCCUCAUGAUAAGUUUCGGCUCAU